UACUCGGGAGGCUAAGGCAGGGGAAUCGC
rnacentral:piRNA from 1 species